UACGGGGGGGGUAAGCGUUGUUCGGAAUUACUGGGCGUAAAGGGCUCGUAGGCGGCCAACUAAGUCAAACGUGAAAUCCCUCAGCUUAACUGGGGAACUGCGUCUGAUACUGGAUGGCUUGGAUUCGGGAGAGGAAUGCGGAAUUCCAGGUGUAGCGGUGAAAUGCGUAGAUAUCUGGAGGAACACCGGUGGCGAAGGCGGCAUUCUGGACCGAUAUUGACGCUGAGGAGCGAAAGCCAGGGGAGCAAACGGG
rnacentral:rRNA from 1 species